rnacentral:rRNA from 1 species
UACGUAGGUGGCAAGCGUUGUCCGGAUUUACUGGGUGUAAAGGGCGUGCAGCCGGGAAGACAAGUCAGAUGUGAAAUCCCGCGGCUCAACCGCGGAACUGCAUUUGAAACUGUUUUUCUUGAGUAUCGGAGAGGUAACCGGAAUUCCUAGUGUAGCGGUGAAAUGCGUAGAUAUUAGGAAGAACACCAGUGGCGAAGGCGGGUUACUGGACGACAACUGACGGUGAGGCGCGAAAGCGUGGGGAGCAAACAGG